GAUGAACGCUGGCGGCGUGCCUAAUACAUGCAAGUCGAGCGAACAGACGAGGAGCUUGCUCCUCUGACGUUAGCGGCGGACGGGUGAGUAACACGUGGAUAACCUACCUAUAAGACUGGGAUAACUUCGGGAAACCGGAGCUAAUACCGGAUAAUAUAUUGAACCGCAUGGUUCAAUAGUGAAAGACGGUUUUGCUGUCACUUAUAGAUGGAUCCGCGCCGCAUUAGCUAGUUGGUAAGGUAACGGCUUACCAAGGCAACGAUGCGUAGCCGACCUGAGAGGGUGAGCGGCCACACUGGAAGUGAGACACGGUCCAGACUCCUACGGGAGGCAGCAGUAGGGAAUCUUCCGGAAUGGGGGAAAGCCUGACGGAGGAAGGCGGCGUGAGUGAUGAAGGUCUUCGGAUCGUAAAACUCUGUUAUUAGGGAAGAACAAAUGUGUAAGUAAGUAUGCACGUCUUGACGGUACCUAAUCAGAAAGCCACGGCUAACUACGUG
rnacentral:rRNA from 1 species